UCGAACGACUCUGGUAUUGAUUGGUGCUUGCAUCAUGAUUUACAUUUGAGUGAGUGGCGAACUGGUGAGUAACACGUGGGAAACCUGCCCAGAAGCGGGGGAUAACACCUGGAAACAGAUGCUAAUACCGCAUAACAACUUGGACCGCAUGGUCCGAGCUUGAAAGAUGGCUUCGGCUAUCACUUUUGGAUGGUCCCGCGGCGUAUUAGCUAGAUGGUGGGGUAACGGCUCACCAUGGCAAUGAUACGUAGCCGACCUGAGAGGGUAAUCGGCCACAUUGGGACUGAGACACGGCCCAAACUCCUACGGGAGGCAGCAGUAGGGAAUCUUCCACAAUGGACGAAAGUCUGAUGGAGCAACGCCGCGUGAGUGAAGAAGGGUUUCGGCUCGUAAAACUCUGUUGUUAAAGAAGAACAUAUCUGAGAGUAACUGUUCAGGUAUUGACGGUAUUUAACCAGAAAGCCACGGCUAACUACGUGCCAGCAGCCGCGGUAAUACGUAGGUGGCAAGCGUUGUCCGGAUUUAUUGGGCGUAAAGCGAGCGCAGGCGGUUUUUUAAGUCUGAUGUGAAAGCCUUCGGCUCAACCGAAGAAGUGCAUCGGAAACUGGGAAACUUGAGUGCAGAAGAGGACAGUGGAACUCCAUGUGUAGCGGUGAAAUGCGUAGAUAUAUGGAAGAACACCAGUGGCGAAGGCGGCUGUCUGGUCUGUAACUGACGCUGAGGCUCGAAAGUAUGGGUAGCAAACAGGAUUAGAUACCCUGGUAGUCCAUACCGUAAACGAUGAAUGCUAAGUGUUGGAGGGUUUCCGCCCUUCAGUGCUGCAGCUAACGCAUUAAGCAUUCCGCCUGGGGAGUACGGCCGCAAGGCUGAAACUCAAAGGAAUUGACGGGGGCCCGCACAAGCGGUGGAGCAUGUGGUUUAAUUCGAAGCUACGCGAAGAACCUUACCAGGUCUUGACAUACUAUGCAAAUCUAAGAGAUUAGACGUUCCCUUCGGGGACAUGGAUACAGGUGGUGCAUGGUUGUCGUCAGCUCGUGUCGUGAGAUGUUGGGUUAAGUCCCGCAACGAGCGCAACCCUUAUUAUCAGUUGCCAGCAUUAAGUUGGGCACUCUGGUGAGACUGCCGGUGACAAACCGGAGGAAGGUGGGGAUGACGUCAAAUCAUCAUGCCCCUUAUGACCUGGGCUACACACGUGCUACAAUGGAUGGUACAACGAGUUGCGAACUCGCGAGAGUAAGCUAAUCUCUUAAAGCCAUUCUCAGUUCGGAUUGUAGGCUGCAACUCGCCUACAUGAAGUCGGAAUCGCUAGUAAUCGCGGAUCAGCAUGCCGCGGUGAAUACGUUCCCGGGCCUUGUACACACCGCCCGUCACACCAUGAGAGUUUGUAACACCCAAAGUCGGUGG
rnacentral:rRNA from 2 species